rnacentral:rRNA from 1 species
UAUACAUGCAAGUCGAGCGAAUGAUGAAGAAGCUUGCUUCUUCUGAUUUAGCGGCGGACGGGUGAGUAACACGUGGGCAACCUACCUAGUAGAUUGGGAUAACUCCGGGAAACCGGGGCUAAUACCGAAUAAUCCAUUUUGUCACAUGGCAAAAUGCUGAAAGGCGGUUUCGGCUGUCACUACUAGAUGGGCCCGCGGUGCAUUAGCUAGUUGGUGGGGUAAUGGCCUACCAAGGCAACGAUGCAUAGCCGACCUGAGAGGGUGAUCGGCCACAUUGGGACUGAGACACGGCCCAAACUCCUACGGGAGGCAGCAGUAGGGAAUCUUCCACAAUGGACGAAAGUCUGAUGGAGCAACGCCGCGUGAGUGAUGAAGGUUUUCGGAUCGUAAAACUCUGUUGUAAGGGAAGAACAAGUACGUUAGUAACUGAACGUACCUUGACGGUACCUUAUUAGAAAGCCACGGCUAACUACGUGCCAGCAGCCGCGGUAAUACGUAGGUGGCAAGCGUUGUCCGGAUUUAUUGGGCGUAAAGCGCGCGCAGGUGGUUUCUUAAGUCUGAUGUGAAAGCCCACGGCUCAACCGUGGAGGGUCAUUGGAAACUGGGAGACUUGAGUGCAGAAGAGGAAAGUGGAAUUCCAAGUGUAGCGGUGAAAUGCGUAGAGAUUUGGAGGAACACCAGUGGCGAAGGCGACUUUCUGGUCUGUAACUGACACUGAGGCGCGAAAGCGUGGGGAGCAAACAGGAUUAGAUACCCUGGUAGUCCACGCCGUAAACGAUGAGUGCUAAGUGUUAGGGGGUUUCCGCCCCUUAGUGCUGCAGCUAACGCAUUAAGCACUCCGCCUGGGGAGUACGGCCGCAAGGUUGAAACUCAUGAG